GCGCCGGUGGUCUAGUGGCUAUGACUCGAGCUUCCCAAGCUCGCAACCCGGGUUCGAUUCCCGGUCGGCGCA
rnacentral:tRNA from 1 species